CAAACGAUGAUAACUUAAAUCUAUAUAAUGGGGAUUAGGAUUAAGGGUGUUCCAUAUACCUUUCCGAAGUGCAAUCGGAAGAGACAAGUCCGCAGUAGGAGCAGGGUCAGGCGCAGGACGUGAAUCAACCGAGCCGGAUGCUGGGCGAGGACGACGAUGAUAUGUCAAGAGUGGAGUGUCUGUUGCAGGGAGUCUAGGAGGAGCUACACUAGACUCUCCAACGGUUGGAAUGGGUAAGACUUCUAUAGCGGAAGGUGAAGGAGGAGAUAUAGUAGACUCCCUAAAGGCCGAUAUAGGUAAAACCUCAGAUAUAUCAAGAUGGUCAGGAUGGUCAGAGGAGGUAAUCCAAAGUUUGUAAUGGGUAAGACUUCUGUAGCGGAACAGGAAGGAGGAGAUAUAAUAGACUCCCUAAAGGCCGGUAUAGGUAAACCCUCAGAUAUAUCAAGAUGGUCAGAAUGGUCAGAAGAGGUAAAGAAAGGUUUAGACUCAAAAAAUGUGACAUCGGCUGACAUAAGGUACCUACGAAGANNNN
rnacentral:lncRNA from 1 species